rnacentral:lncRNA from 1 species
UGGGGAAGUUGGGUGAUAGGGGGAGAGUAGUCAGUCCUGGGCAUGGGGCGGGAGGGGGACGGAGGCGGUGGGUGGGGAGCUGGGCCGAGGGCGAGGUGAGGGGCCAAGGCUGCAGGGGGGUUAGGGCCAGGGCCGGUACCUGAGCCACCACAUGUAGUUGUGCUCGUAAGGGAAGAAGCUGUGCGGGUCGUCGCAGCAGUACUUGUGGUCGCGGAAGCCGCAGCAGAAGAUGUUGGUCACCUCGCCCCCCGGGCGCGGGCAGCUGAAGCCGUGCACCACCUCCUGCUUGGCGCUCAAGUAGCCGGUGCAGUCGCCGCUCAUCGCGCCUCGGGCCCGGACCGCCGGGACGACCGAGACCAAACAGAGCUGGGGAAAGACAGAUGAGAGGCAGAGAAAGGCGCGGAAACGCGGCGGGUGGGACCCGAAGCCCAAGAUCCGCCAGUGGCCACCAGUUCCUUGGCUUCCUACAGGCCAGCUCCACAGAUCCAGAUGUGUGCCAGGCUCCUGACCUGGGCCUGGGGCCCCAAAAGGCGCCAGAUCUGGAUCUGUCCCUGAGAAACACACAGGUGGUGGAGGAAUCAGACAGAACAGACCAUCUCAGGCGGGAAAAAUGCAGGGACAGUGGACACAGAGGGACAUCAUCUGAGGGAGCAGGGAAGGGCUUUGAAGGGAUAAUGUCCUCAAAGGUCAUUGUGAGGUCAAAUAUGAGAACUGGAGGGGAUUGUUAUUGUCCACAGCAAAUCCCUCCCCUGAGCUCUAGAUGUCUGAAGAAGUUGCAGGAUGGACCGCUCUAAUGGUGAUGCACUCUGACCUCUAUUUAUCAAAAAGAGCAUGAGCACUGCAAGAGAAACUGCCAACAGAGCUAAGAGACAACCUACAAUGAAGGAAAAAAGUUUUCAGCAAUUGUACCUCAGACAAAGGACUACUAUCUAAAAUAUAUAAAGAAAUGAAAAAUAUCAGACCCCCCAAAUUCAAAGGCCCAAUUCAAAAAUGGGCAUCUGAAAUGAACAGACAUUUCUCAGACAAACAAGUAAAAGCAGCAAAUAAAUAUAUGAAAAAAUGUUCAACAUCACUGGUCAUUC